ACAGCGGGAAGAUUUCGGUCGGACCAGUGCAUGCCUAGUGGCGGACGGGUGAGUAACGCGUGGGUAACCUGCCUUACACAGGGGGAUAACACUUAGAAAUAGGUGCUAAUACCGCAUGAGCGCACAGGACCGCAUGGUCGAGUGUGAAAAACUGAGGUGGUGUAAGAUGGACCCGCGUCUGAUUAGCUAGUUGGUGAGGUAACGGCCCACCAAGGCGACGAUCAGUAGCCGGCCUGAGAGGGUGGACGGCCACAUUGGGACUGAGACACGGCCCAAACUCCUACGGGAGGCAGCAGUGGGGGAUAUUGGACAAUGGGGGGAACCCUGAUCCAGCGACGCCGCGUGAGUGAAGAAGUAUCUCGGUAUGUAAAGCUCUAUCAGCAGGGAAGAAGAAAUGACGGUACCUGAGUAAGAAGCCCCGGCUAACUACGUGCCAGCAGCCGCGGUAAUACGUAGGGGGCAAGCGUUAUCCGGAAUUACUGGGUGUAAAGGGAGCGUAGACGGUGAUGUAAGUCUGGAGUGAAAGGCGGGGGCCCAACCCCCGGACUGCUCUGGAAACUAUGUGACUGGAGUGCAGGAGAGGUGAGCGGAAUUCCUAGUGUAGCGGUGAAAUGCGUAGAUAUUAGGAGGAACACCAGUGGCGAAGGCGGCUCACUGGACUGUAACUGACGUUGAGGCUCGAAAGCGUGUGGAGCAAACAGGAUUAGAUACCCUGGUAGUCCACGCCGUAAACGAUGAUCACUAGGUGUGGGUGAGUAUGGACCCAUCGGUGCCGCAGCAAACGCAAUAAG
rnacentral:rRNA from 1 species